GAGAGAUGGCUGAGUGGUCGAAGGCGACGGUCUCGAAAAUCGUUGUACGGGUAACCGUACCGAGGGUUCGAAUCCCUCUCUCUCC
rnacentral:tRNA from 1 species